CACUAAGUAGCUGGUGUGGUUUUGCAGGAGGGGGUUUCUGCUGGGUCGAGUGGACAGUCACGUCCAGCCAGCACAUCAGUGACUCACAGAUCUGCAAUGAGAUGACACAGACAGUUAUUACUCUGUCCUCCUUCCUGCCGUGCACGAGGCUUGGGGAUUUUCUACAGCGGUGCCGGCAGACUUGACAUGGCCAAGCUGAAGCAUUACCUGGGCAGCCACUACACGGAACUGGUCGGAUGGUACAGGAAUCGCAGCAGUGGAAGAGACACAGUAUACCUCCGGGAAAGACUGGUUCACCAACAGCUGACGGAGGGCCGUGACACAUGCUGGGGGUCACUUCAUCCUGGCCAUCUUCACCUCCCCCCUUGUGGCACCCUCUGGCACCCUCGACUGUGCCCACAGGUUCCUUAUGGUUUCAGAAUGGGUAGGUGGUGGUGGUGGUGUUUGUUGUUGUUGUUGUUGUUGUUGUUGUUGUUGUUGUU